rnacentral:rRNA from 1 species
UGAGUGACGCGUGAAUCAUCGAAUCUUUGAACGCAUCUUGCACUUUUCAGGUCUCCUGAAAAGUAUACUUGUUUGAGAAUCAUGUACGCAAAAAAUACUCCUCUUCUAAAGAGGGGAGUGAAUUGGGGCGUCACGAUGGCGACUCGCCUGUCAUGUGCCUUUUAAUUAAUGAGUCGGCAAUUCAUCCUGAAUGAAGCCUUGCACAACAAAAUGUGAGAUAUAUGUCGCACAAAGUAAUUGAGCAAGGUCAAUGUCGGCGCACCCAGGGGCAGAGGCGGCAUCAUCAGCAACAACUUACUUUGCUUGCUGUUGUUGGCCCGCCAUCGCCCCCACCACCCUUUGAGUGAUCUCAAAUCAAGUAAGGUUACCCGCUGAACUUAAGCAUAUCAAUAAGCGGAGG